UAACUUUGGGGUCGCAACGGUUCUCCUUUUGGCACCCGCCAAAAGAGAUUAAAAGGGAAUCAGGUGUAAAUCCUGAACAGUCCCGCUGCUGUAAGCUUCAUUUUCAGUUAGCAGUUAACAUUCAUCAGUUAACAGCUUAAUUGGAAUAACGUAUUGAACAACACUAUUGCCACUGAAGACAAUCAACAGUCAUCAGUUUACAGUCACAGUUUUUAUUGAUAACUGCUAACUGUUCUCUGCUAACUGGUUUUCGGGAAGGCGUUCAAAUACGGGAGUGAGUCAGAAGACCUGCCUUUGCGGAUUAUAGUUU
rnacentral:ncRNA from 2 species